CUGAGGAUGAUGGAAACGUCCCACAGUAUCGAGUAUCCUGGUAGUAGGGGACGUGCAAAUUUGAUGCCACGUAGGAGUCUAUAUCAGCAGGUGACGUCCUAUCGGGACCCAAUCUAUACCUUGGUGUCUAGCCGAAAUGGCCGAUCGGUAUAGGUUCACUGUACGAUAGGCUUUACCGUCCUCAAAUAAUGACGUUAGGAACUGAAGGGUCGAAGUCAGAGGAGCCGA